UGGUUCCUAGGUUUGUACUCG
ensembl:piRNA 21ur-10659 ncRNA